rnacentral:rRNA from 1 species
UUAUCGGAGAGUUUGAUCCUGGCUCAGGACGAACGCUGGCGGCGUGCCUAAUACAUGCAAGUCGAGCGGACAGAUGGGAGU